rnacentral:rRNA from 1 species
GACGAACGCUGGCGGCGCGCUUAACACAUGCAAGUCGAGCGAAGCGGCGGACGGGUGGGUAACACGUGAGUAACCUGCCUUAGACAUUGGGAUAGACUCGGGAAACAGGGAUUAAUACCAAAUGGUCUAAGAUGGACUCGCGUCCGAUUAGGUAGUUGGUGAGGUAACGGCCCACCAAGGCGACGGUGGGUAGCCGGCCGGAGAGGGUGAACGGCCACAUUGGAACUGAGAAACGUUCCAAUCUCUCCGGGAGGCAGCAGUGUGGAAUAUUGCACAAGGGAGGGAACUCUGAUGCAGCGACGCCGCGUGAACGAAGAAGUCUUUCGAGUCGUAAAGUUCUUUUAUAUGGGACGCGGUACCAUAAGAAAAAGCCCCGGCUAACUACGUGCCAGCAGCCGCGGUAAUAC